AUUGAACGCUGGCGGCAGGCUUAACACAUGCAAGUCGAGCGGGGGAGGUUGCUUCGGUAACUGACCUAGCGGCGGACGGGUGAGUAAUGCUUAGGAAUCUGCCUAUUAGUGGGGGACAACAUUCCGAAAGGGAUGCUAAUACCGCAUACGCCCUACGGGGGAAAGCAGGGGAUCUUCGGACCUUGCGCUAAUAGAUGAGCCUAAGUCGGAUUAGCUAGUUGGUGGGGUAAAGGCCUACCAAGGCGACGAUCUGUAGCGGGUCGGAGAGGAUGAUCCGCCACACUUGGACUGAGACGCGGCACAGACUCCUACGGGAGGCAGCAGUGGGGAAUAUUGGACAAUGGGCGGAAGCCUGAUCCAGCCAGGCCGCGUGUGUGAAGAAGGCCUUUUGGUUGUAAAGAACUUUAAGCGAGGAGGAGGCUCUUAAGGUUAAUACCCUUGAUGAGUGGACGUUACUCGCAGAAUAAGCACCGGCUAACUCUGUGCCAGCAGCCGCCGUAACAC
rnacentral:rRNA from 1 species